GGAGGAAAAGAAACCAACCGGGAUUGCCUCAGUAACGGCGAGUGAAGCGGCAAGAGCUCAAAUUUGAAAGCUGGCUCCUUCGGGGUCCGCAUUGUAAUUUGCAGAGGAUGCUUCGGGUGCGGCCCCUGUCUAAGUGCCCUGGAACGGGCCGUCAGAGAGGGUGAGAAUCCCGUCUGGGAUGGGGUGUCCGCGCCCGUGUGAAGCUCCUUCGACGAGUCGAGUUGUUUGGGAAUGCAGCUCUAAAUGGGUGGUAAAUUUCAUCUAAAGCUAAAUACUGGCCGGAGACCGAUAGCGCACAAGUAGAGUGAUCGAAAGAUGAAAAGCACUUUGAAAAGAGAGUUAAAAAGCACGUGAAAUUGUUGAAAGGGAAGCGCUUGCGACCAGACUCGCCUCCAGGGUUCAGCCGGCAUUCGUGCCGGUGUACUUCCCUGGGGGCGGGCCAGCGUCGGUUUGGGCGGCCGGUCAAAGGCUCCCGGAAUGUAGUGCCCUCCGGGGCACCUUAUAGCCGGGAGUGCAAUGCGGCC
rnacentral:rRNA from 1 species